rnacentral:lncRNA from 1 species
GAAGCCUAACACACAGAGACAUCUGUUUCACACAGCUCUGAAGAACCUAGACAGGAUCUCACAAGGCUGUGAGCUGACCGUCAGCUAGGCGACCAGACAGAGCGAGUUAGAAUUCUGUCUACACUCUAAGGCAGAGAAGUUCCCACAUGAGGGUGUGGACAACUCAGAUCCAUCCAUCUUGGCAUGCUGAUUACCACAGAGAUCCAAGUACCUGGAGCAGACUGCCAUGCGUAGUCUGUGGCAGAUCGGGAAGAUGGGCUUUGCCUCCCUCCCUGGGACUUCUUGGAUGAAGCUAUUGUCACCAUGGAGGAGAGACGCAGGUGUCACACUUUGUUCUCACCGCUAUUCGGAUUCUGGUGAGAAACUUGAGGCUGUAACCCAGGCUCCCAUUGUUCAUUUCACCGUUCCACGAUGGUCCUGACGCAUCACUCGCCAAGAAGGCCUUUCCUGGUAACACGUUCACAAGCUCUGCUUUCCUGAUUGCCAGUGGAGGGCACUUCCACUUCAUCCUGAACUUAUAUAUUUAAACACCUACUUAGAAGUGCUACCAGACUAAUCAGGGAGUGCUCGCAUCAAAUUAUUCUUUCAUAGUUUUGGAUCGUUCUGUUCAAUGAUCUAUUCCAUGAAACUUGCCUUACUUGAGGGCAGAACACAUCUCUCACAUCAAUAUAAGGCAGCACUGGGUGCCCUGUGGGUGUGUUAUUUAAUUUCAUUGAUUACUCGAACCUCGAAGAUAGAGACAGAACAACAAAAGGCUCACUUCCAUAAUGACAGUGAAGUCGGACUCAAACGUCAGCGGACUCCAGUGGAACGUUCCAGUGCUCCAAUAUCGAUGAACAUGUUACUUCCCUUGCCCACUGCUUAUGGCUACUCAUGUAGUAUUGCUAUGAGGUAAUAGAAGUGAUGUCAUAAGAAGGACUCCCAAGAUCCCUGGCACCUGGACUUCGCUCCUUGAGAACCGCCUCCAGCCUUCUGUGACAGCAACCCCACAAGGCUCACACGGACAAAGCACUGAGUUCGCUCGUACAUUUAAAUGGUGGCCCAAAGAGAUGAACGCAGAUGCCAAAACAAGACCUUCUCAUCGAAAGCUCCUGUCACUUCGUCUUGCCAACUAAACGAGUCUGUGAACCGACUGAAGAGACAAGUACGUCGCCUCGGUUAUGUUGCCCCGUGGUUGUCUCAGAUAUUAAUUAGUUAUGACCACAGUUGCCCCAGUACUGGAUAUACCAGAGCGUGACUCACUCCCAUGUUGAAACAAUGGCCUCCUAGAACUGUUAAUGAUUUCAGAGAAGAUUUCCCAAUUACUCAGAGCAGACACUGUUGCGCAAAACCGAGUUACCCUUAGAGUCACAGUUUAGGUCCCACAAACUUGAGAGACUUUAUCUAACAGUCACACAGGUCACAGUCCUGCAGGUCUUCCUGGGACUUCACAGUUGAGAAGCACCUGCUAAAGAUCUCUCCACGGAGGCUUUUGCUGACCUUCAUUUAGGCGUCCAUUGCUUUGUGAUCCUCAGUUACAUCUCUCGGUGGUAAGGUGGCCAGGAGGUCAUGUUUCCCUGCUCUGCUGGUACUCAGGACUGACAACAGCACAGCAUUUGUGAUCCUGUGGUACAGGUACAUGCAGAGGUGUCUCUUACUGUCCUAGGCUCUCUCUGAAGGCAGAGACCAGUGUUCUGUACAUUAUAUCUCGAGGCUUGGUCUCUCACUGAACUUGAAGUUAACCAUAAGGACCCUCCUGUGUAUGUCACUCCAGUGCUUGGCUUUGUAGGUGAGUGCCAGGGUUGGCCUCAGGUCCUCAGUGUGUGAGGCAGGCAUGUUAUGGCACCAACUGAACCAUCUUCCACAUCCCAGAAGGAUUUAUAACGCAGAAAGGCUGUGAUCACUCUUGGGCUGACAGUAACUGAA